GACCCCGCAGGAAGUGCCGCUCUCGGGGAAGGUCGUAUUACAGAAGGGCCUUCUCGAACACGCGGGGUGACAGUACUAGGGCUUUGACCCUGUAGUGUACCCACGCGGGGUGACAGUACUAGGGCUUUGACCCUGUAGUGUACCCGAAAGAACACAGCACUUGGAGGGAGAGAUCCAGGAAGAGGUCGCAGAGCAGAACCCCGUUUCCUGAUCCCAUCCAGGACAGCACAUUACAUUUAUGUCUCCUGAGGCUCCUCUUAACUGUGACAGUUUCUCAGACUUUCCUUGUUUCUGAUGCACAGAUUUGAGGAGUACUGGUCAGGAAUAUUGUAGGUGUUGGUUAUUUUUUGUAUGUAAUAUUUCAUGAUUAAAAAUUACUAAUCAGGGGGA